rnacentral:rRNA from 1 species
AGUGAACGCUGGCGGUAGGCCUAACACAUGCAAGUCGAACGGCAGCACAGUAAGAGCUUGCUCUUACGGGUGGCGAGUGGCGGACGGGUGAGGAAUACAUCGGAAUCUACUUUUUCGUGGGGGCUAACGUAGGGACACUUACGCUAAUACCGCAUACGACCUACGGGUGAAAGCAGGGGAUCUUCGGACCUUGCGCGAUUGAAUGAGCCGAUGUCGGAUUAGCUAGUUGGCGGGGUAAAGGCCCACCAAGGCGACGAUCCGUAGCUGGUCUGAGAGGAUGAUCAGCCACACUGGAACUGAGACACGGUCCAGACUCCUACGGGAGGCAGCAGUGGGGAAUAUUGGACAAUGGGCGCAAGCCUGAUCCAGCCAUACCGCGUGGGUGAAGAAGGCCUUCGGGUUGUAAAGCCCUUUUGUUGGGAAAGAAAAGCAGCAGGUUAAUACCCCGCUGUUCUGACGUUACCCAAAGAAUAAGCACCGGCUAACUUCGUG